rnacentral:rRNA from 1 species
GAUGAACGCUGGCGGCGUGCCUAAUACAUGCAAGUCGAGCGAAGCGGGGACGGGUGAGUAACACGUGGAUAACCUCCUAUACGACUGGGAUAACUUCGGGAAACCGGAGCUAAACCGGAUGCUUAUUGAUGGAUCGUCGCUGCAUUAGCUAGUUGGUAAGGUAACGGCUUACCCAGUCAACGAUGCGUAGCCGACCUGAGAGGAGGAUCAGCCACACUGGAACUGAGCCACGGUCCAGACUCCUACGGGAGGCAGCAGUGGGGAAUCUACCGCAAGGGGCGAAAGCCUGACAGGGCAACGCCGCGUGGGGGAAGAAGGGCUUGGGAUCGUAAAACUCUGUUAUUAGGGAAGCGGUACCUAAUCAGAAAGCCACGGCUAACUACGUGCCAGCAGCCGCGGUAAUAC